rnacentral:rRNA from 1 species
AUUGAACGCUGGCGGCAGGCCUAACACAUGCAAGUCGAGCGGAUGAAGGGAGCUUGCUCCUGGAUUCAGCGGCGGACGGGUGAGUAAUGCCUAGGAAUCUGCCUGGUAGUGGAGGAUAACGUCCGGAAACGGGCGCUAAUACCGCAUACGUCCUGAGGGAGAAAGUGGGGGAUCUUCGGACCUCACGCGAUCAGAUGAGCCUAGGUCGGAUUAGCUAGUUGGUGGGGUAAAGGCCUACCAAGGCGACGAUCCGUAACUGGUCUGAGAGGAUGAUCAGUCACACUGGAACUGAGACACGGUCCAGACUCCUACGGGAGGCAGCAGUGGGGAAUAUUGGACAAUGGGCGAAAGCCUGAUCCAGCCAUGCCGCGUGUGUGAAGAAGGUCUUCGGAUUGUAAAGCACUUUAAGUUGGGAGGAAGGGCAGUAAGUUAAUACCUUGCUGUUUUGACGUUACCAACAGAAUAAGCACCGGCUAACUUCGUG